CUUGCUGCGUGGAUUAGUGGCGCACGGGUGAGUAAUAUAUAGGUAAUGUGCCUCUUAGUCUGGGAUAGCCAUUGGAAACGAUGAUUAAUACUGGAUACUCCUUCUAACUCUAAUGUUAGUCGGGAAAGUUUUUCGCUAAGAGAUCAGCCUAUAUCCCAUCAGUUAGUUGGUAAGGUAACGGCUUACCAAGGCAAUGACGGGUAGCGGGUUUGAGAGGAUGAUCCGCCACACUGGUACUGAGACACGGACCAGACUCCUACGGGAGGCAGCAGUGAGGAAUAUUGCACAAUGGGGGAAACCCUGAUGCAGCAACGCCGCGUGGAGGAUGACGCAUUUCGGUGUGUAAACUCCUUUUAUAUGUCAAGAAAAUGACGGUAGCAUAUGAAUAAGCACCGGCUAACUCCGUGCCAGCAGCCGCGGUAAUACGGAGGGUGCAAGCGUUACUCGGAAUCACUGGGCGUAAAGGACGCGUAGGCGGAUUGGAAAGUCAGAUGUGAAAUCCUACAGCUUAACUGUAGAACUGCAUUUGAAACUUCUAAUCUAGAGUAUGGGAGGGGGAGAUGGAAUUAGUGGUGUAGGGGUAAAAUCCGUAGAUAUCACUAGGAAUACCGAAAGCGAAGGCGAUCUCCUGGAACAUUACUGACGCUAAGGCGUGAAAGCGUGGGGAGCAAACAGGAUUAGAUACCCUGGUAGUCCACGCCCUAAACGAUGAACACUAGUCGUCGGGAUGCUUGUCAUCUCGGUGAUGCACUUAACAGAUUAAGUGUUCCGCCUGGGGAGUACGG
rnacentral:rRNA from 1 species